CCUAGGUCUGGCAAUUCCACUGAACUUGACAGCUCAUAAGGAAGAUUCAUUCUAAAUACAUUCCAAUCAGCUCUGCCACCUUCCCCGGGUCUGAAAGUGUGAGGGACUUGAAAUGGACCAUUUGGAGGCUUGACACAUUGAAGACAUGGUAGAUUGGUGUCCACCUCAGUCUUACUCAGGAAAUCCAGAGCGCAAGAGGGAGAAAACCAAGGCUGAGAGACGUGAAGUAACUUGACCAGAUGGCACUUCAGGGAAGGGCUGGAUAGUGGUGCUGCUAGUGGGGAAGUACAGGAGGUGGUUUCAGUGAUACUCGUUUUGUUAAAGCACAUUCAUUUUCAGAAUCCUGGAAUCCUACAGAUAGGCAUUUAAUAAUAUAUUACACUCUUAUGUCAGUGUGAUCAGCUAAGAGAGAG
rnacentral:lncRNA from 1 species